rnacentral:rRNA from 1 species
GACAGAGGGGGCAAGCGUUGCUCGGAAUUACUGGGCGUAAAGGGCGCGUAGGCGGGAUGGCAAGUCGGUCGUGAAAUCCCUCGGCUCAACCGAGGAACGUCGAUCGAUACUGCUGUUCUUGAGGAUUGCAGAGGAGACUGGAAUUCCCGGUGUAGCGGUGAAAUGUGUAGAGAUCGGGAGGAACACCGGUGGCGAAGGCGGCAUCCUGGACUGUAACUGACACUGAGGAACGAAAGCCAGGGGAGCAAACGGG